rnacentral:rRNA from 1 species
AUGGAGCAGUCUAUAAGAGCAUACAGUAAAGAUAAAACAGUAACUUUGUUCAAGCCUGAAGUAGGCGUGAUAUUUGGCUCAGCAAGCCAAGGUUACCAGUUCUACAAUUUAUAUUCAUGGGUCCUUGGGUUCAGCAUAAGGAGUGAUGACUCGUAUACUAACACCAAGGGAGAGCGAACUAUGCAAGAGGCAAAUAGAUCUUUCUUAUUCUUAACAAAUAUUUGUCUGACAUUUCAGGGCAUUGAUAAGAAGACAAAACUCAGCAGCACCAGAUGUGGAUGUUGUGCACGGCUAAGGUUGCUUAGGUCCAAUGAUUUACUAUGGUAUGUCAAGAUAUUCAAUGAACAACACAACCAUGAUCUGGUUGAGAGUUGUGGCCAGAAGAAGCAUUUGUUUUCUCAUAGACACAUAGACGAUUCUGCCAAAACUAUGGUUAGGCACCUCCGUGAGAACAAUGUUAUCCCUAGCAGAAUAAAUGGCAUAGUUGGCAGCUUCUAUGGUACAGCGGAUGGUGUUCCAUUCACGAAGAAGGCUCUGAGGACUUUGUGUUCGGACAUUGCAGCUAAAGCUCUAAAAGAUGAUGUAAGAAAAACAAUUGAGGGUUUCAAAGACAAUAUAGCUCAGGACAAUAGGUUUGUUUUCUCAAUGCAGCUGGACGCCAAUAAAAAUCUAAGGUCUCUCAUGUGGACAAGUGGUCCGAACAGAGCUCUAUAUUCUCACUUUGGUGAUGUUGUAACAUUCGAUACAAUGUACGAGACCAACAUAUACAAGAUGCCGUUUGGAAUGUUCGUUAGAGUGAAUAACCACUUCCAGAGUAUUAUUUUCCCUGGAGUACUUCUUACAAACGAGAUUGCAGAAUAUUUCGAUUGGGCUUUCAAGGAGUUUGUUCUGAUGAUGGGUGGUAAAGCACCAUGUACGAUGCUGACAGACCAAGCUUUGGCAAUGGCAGUGGCAAUUAAGAGAACUUUACCGAAGACCACACAGCGGUGGUGUAAAUGGCAUGUCUUGCGUCGGGAAGUAUUGCGACAUGUAUUAAAAAAGCAUUUAAGUUUUGGUGAUGAUUUCAACAUGGUAGUGAACCAUAUGCUAACUGUUGAUGAGUUCGAGAGGGCAUGGGAUUUCCUCAUCAAAAAAUAUAACCUCGGUUCCAAUCCAUUCAUGACUAGGGUGUACGAGUGUAGAGCCAAAUGGGCAAAACCAUACUUCAACGACAUCUUCUGUGCCCGAAUGACCAGCACUCAGCAUAGUGAAAGCAUUGACCAUGUAUUGAAGAUUUACAUCGCUGCUCAAUCGUCUCUGAAUGUUUUUGUAAAACAGUACCACAAACUAAUCAGCCAGAGGGAGAAAGAUGAUAAUGAGGCCGAGAAAAACACGAGUCAGGUUUUUUUUAGAAAAGGAGGAUGA